rnacentral:rRNA from 1 species
AUGCCGCGUGAGUGAUGAAGGCCUUCGGGUUGUAAAGCUCUUUUGUUCGGGAAGAUAAUGACGGUACCAAUAGAAUAGGCCCCGGCUAACUUCCUGCCAACAACCGCGGUAUUACUAAGGGGGCUAGCGUUGCUCGGAAUCACUGGGCGUAAAGGGUGCGUAAGCGGAUCUUUAAGUCAGGGGUGAAAUCCUGGAGCUCAACUCCAGAACUGCCUUUGAUACUGAACCUCUUGAGUGCGGGAGAGGUGAGUGGAAUUGCGUGUGUAAAGGUGAAAUUCAUAUAUAUUCGUAAGAACACCAGUGGCGAAGGCGGCUCACUGGCCCGAUACUGACGCUGAGGCCCGAAAGCGUGGGGAGCAAACAGGAUUAAAUACCCUGGUAGUCCACGCCGUAAACGAUGAAUGCUAGCCGUUAGUGAGUUUACUCACUAGUGGCGCAGCUAACGCUUUAAGCAUUCCGCCUGGGGAGUACGGUCGCAAGAUUAAAACUCAAAGGAAUUGAC